CGAACGGGAUUAGAUACCCCGGUAGUCCUAGCCGUAAACGAUGGAUACUAGGUGUUAGAGGUAUCGACCCCUCUAGUGCCGAAGCUAACGCAUUAAGUAUCCCGCCUGGGGAGUACGACCGCAAGGUUGAAACUCAAAGGAAUUGACGGGGGCCCGCACAAGCGGUGGAGCAUGUGGUUUAAUACGUCACUAACCGUAGAACCUCACCCAGGUUUGACAUCCACUGUAAGUCCAUGAAAGUGGUACCCCUGUAUGGAAACAUACAGCAGUGAGACAGGUGUUGCAUGGCUGUCGUCAGCUCGUGUCGUGAGAUGUUGGGUUAAGUCCCGCAACGAGCGCAACCCUCAUCCGAUGUUGCCAGCGUAAAGUCGGGGACUCUUCGGAAACUGCCCGUGCAAGCGGGAGGAAGGUGGGGAUGACGUCAAGUCAGCAUGGCCCUUACAUCUGGGGCUACACACGUGUUACAAUGGCAGGUACAGAGGGCAGCUACCCAGCGAUGGGGUGCGAAUCUCGAAAGCCUGUCUCAGUUCGGAUCGGAGUCUGCAACUCGACUCCGUGAAGUUGGAUUCGCUAGUAAUCGCGCAUCAGCCAUGGCGCGGUGAAUACGUUCCCGGGCCUUGUACACACCGCCCGUCAAGCCAUGGAAGCUGGGGGUGCCUGAAGUUCGUUACCGCAAGGAGCGACCUAGGGCAAAACUGGUAACUGGGGCUAAGUCGUAACAAGGUAGCCGUACCGGAAGGUGUGGCUGGAUCACCUCCUU
rnacentral:rRNA from 1 species